rnacentral:lncRNA from 1 species
UUGUGUCAAUGGUCUUUGAAAAUAACCUUUCUAUCUCUGAUAAGAGUAAGGUCCUGUACACACAUGUCACACCCCGAACCUGGGGGCAAGACCGGCAUCCAGUGCCUCACCUAAUCUUGCAUACUAACUUGCGACUAAGGAACUCUAAACAUGUGAUGUCUUACUUUGGUCAUGGGCAAAAUUGCAAAAUAACUGCGAAUGCUGACUAAAUAUCAAUCUAAAGCUGGGCCGAGAAGGCACUCGUAGUUAUUGCACCUAACAAACCAACCAAAUAUACAUACAGGGGCUACAAGCCCAAAAUAUUGCACUAACUGGCAUGAUAUGUCU